rnacentral:rRNA from 1 species
GACGAACGCUGGCGGCGUGCCUAAUACAUGCAAGUUGAGCGCUGAAGGUUGGUACUUGUACCGACUGGAUGAGCAGCGAACGGGUGAGUAACGCGUGGGGAAUCUGCCUUUGAGCGGGGGACAACAUUUGGAAACGAAUGCUAAUACCGCAUAAAAACUUUAAACACAAGUUUUAAGUUUGAAAGAUGCAAUUGCAUCACUCAAAGAUGAUCCCGCGUUGUAUUAGCUAGUUGGUGAGGUAAAGGCUCACCAAGGCGAUGAUACAUAGCCGACCUGAGAGGGUGGUCGGCCACAUUGGGACUGUGACACGGCCCAAACUCCUACGGGAGGCCGCAGUAGGGAAUCUUCGGCAAUGGACGGAAGUCUGACCGAGCAACGCCGCGUGAGUGAAGAAGGUUUUCGGAUCGUAAAACUCUGUUGGUAGAGAAGAACGUUGGUGAGAGUGGAAAGCUCAUCAAGUGACGGUAACUACCCAGAAAGGGACGGCUAACUACGUG